CAGGGGUCUCGAGCGUUAAUCGGAAUCACUGGGCUUAAAGGGUGCGUAGGCGGAUCCGUAAGCGCUUUGUGAAAUCCCCCGGCUCAACCGGGGAAUUGCAGGGCGAACUGCGGAUCUUGAGGAAACUAGAGGCCGGUAGAACGAUUGGUGGAGCGGUGGAAUGCGUAGAUAUCAAUCGGAAUGCCAAAAGUGAAGACAGCCGGCUGGGGUUUUCCUGACGCUGAGGCACGAAAGCGUGGGGAGCAAACCGGAUUAGAUACCCGGGUAGUCCACGCCCUAAACGAUGCACACUAGACCGGAGCGGCUCUGACGUCGUUCUGGUCGUAGAGAAAUUGAUAAGUGUGCCGCCUGGGGAGUACGGUCGCAAGGCUA
rnacentral:rRNA from 1 species